UGAUCCGACCUUCGACGACGAAACGGUAGCGUUUUGAAAAUUGGUUUAUUAGCUAAAUUAGACAUGGAAAAUCCAAAAUCCCAAAAAAUCCAAAAUUACACAUCGGACCGACUCCAAGUUUUACACACAUGUUGGUGUUAAACUUAACGUCGUUCGAAAAAAAAAUCGGAAAAUUUCGCCAUUAGGGGGCGCCAUAAACGAGGAAAUUGUAUAUCAUCUACAAAAUUUCGCCGCAAAAACGCUACACUGACUUCUCGCUACUCCUACCACAGUCAAAUCCUUUGUAUCCACAGGUUCAGGGUAGCGUUUUGAACACAUGCUUCGCGUUGUGCCGGCGAAACGCACAUUUCUUGUCGCGUUGUGCCGGCGAAAUGCACACUUCUUGGACCCCUGCAUAACUGCUUGCAGUUCUAGUUAGGGGUCCAAGCCAACAGGUUGGAUCCCUAUUGUUUUUGUAAGGAUUUUUAUUCCAGCAGCUAAAAGUGGUACUACAGCCCAAACCGUAAAUGGUGCACACACGCCAAUUACAUGCCUAGAUCCAGGUCCGUGAGGUGACGGCAGACGACCAAAUCCAGACAUGCCGGCCACUAGGUGGCGCUAUACCAAGGAGAAACACGUUUGGGGCUAUAGCUCCCACACCGAACCUCCCACAGUCAAAAAC
ensembl:lncRNA